rnacentral:rRNA from 1 species
CGCGGUAAGACAGAGGGGGCAAGCGUUGUCCGGAUUAACUGGGCGUAAAGGGCCCGCAGGUGGUGCCGCAAGUGGUGAUUGAAAUCCGUUGGCUUAACCAACGGGCGCAUCGCCCGACUGCGGCACUCGAGCCAUGCAGAGGUGUGUGGAAUUGCCGGUGUAGUGGUGAAAUGCGUAGAGAUCGGCAGGAACACCAAGGGGGAAGCCAGCACACUGGGCAUUGGCUGACACUCAGGGGCGAUAGCGUGGGGAGCGAACCGGAUUAGAUACCCGGGUAGUCCACGCCGUAAACGAUGGAUGCUCGGCGUGUGGCGGCUAUCAACGCGGCUGCGCGCCUAAGUUAACACGCAAGCAUCCCGCCUGGGAACUACGAGCGCAAGCUUAAAACUCAAAGGAAUUGACGGAAUCGAAUU